rnacentral:rRNA from 1 species
UACAGAGGUCUCAAGCGUUGUUCGGAAUCACUGGGCGUAAAGGGUGCGUAGGCCGCACGGUAAGUCAGAGGUGAAAUCCCGGAGCUCAACUUCGGAAUUGCCUCCGAUACUGCCGUGCUUGAGGACUGGAGAGGAGAUUGGAAUUCACAGUGGAGCAGUGAAAUGCGUAGAUAUCGUAAGGAAGACCAGUGGCGAAGGCGGGUCUCUGGACAGUUCCUGACGCUGAGGCACGAAGGUCAGGGGAGCAAACGGG